rnacentral:rRNA from 1 species
UAGAAUUAGGGUUCGAUUUCGGAGAGGGAGCAUGAGAAACGGCUACCACAUCUAAGGAAGGCAGCAGGCGCGUAAAUUACCCAAUCCUGACUCAGGGAGGUAGUGACAAGAAAUAGCAAACCGGGAACCUCAUGGUUUCACGGUAUUGCAAUGAGAACAAUUUAAAACCCUUAGCGAGAAUCAAGUGGAGGACAAGUCUGGUGCCAGCACCCGCGGUUAUUCCAGCUCCACUAGCGUAUAUUAAAGUUGUUGCAGUUAAAAAGCUCGUAGUUGAACCUCUGUCUGGGGCUAGUUUUGGCUUUGGUCAGGCUAGUUCUAGGCAUCCGCCUACAAGACUUAGAGGGCAUUCAGUUGUUCACUAGGAGUAGUAGGCAUUUUACUUUGAAAAAAUUAGAGUGUUUAAGGCAGGCAAUCGCCCGCAUAUAUUAGCAUGGAAUAAUAGAAUAGGACACUUUUCCAUUUCGUUGGUUAUUGGAAUCGUGUAAUGAUUAAUAGGGACAGUUGUGGGCAUUUGUAUUUAGUUGUCAGAGGUGAAAUUCUUGGAUUUAUUAAAGACAAACUAACGCGAAAGCAUUUGCCAAGGGUGUUUUCAUUAAUCAAGAACGAAAGUUAGGGGAUCAAAGACGAUCAGAUACCGUCCUAGUCUUAACUACAAACUAUUCCGACUCAAUGUUUGACUGGCUUAUAUAACCAGUUGAGCGUUGUAUGAGAAAUCAAAGUCUUUAGGUUCUGGGGGGAGUAUGGUUGCAAAGCUGAAACUUAAAGGAAUUGACGGAAGAGCACAACCAGGAGUGGAUUCUGCGGCUUAAUUUGACUCAACACGGGGAAACUUACCAGGUUAAAACAAUAGUGGGAUUGACAGUUUGAGAGCGCUUUCUUGAUUGGUUGGGUGGUGGUGCAUGGCCGUUCUUAGUUGGUGGAGUGAUUUGUCUGCUUAAUUGCGUUAACGAACGAGACCUUAACCUGCUUACUAGACUGGCGAUCAUCAAUCGUUAGCUCUUCUUAGAGGGACUUUGGUUGUUUUAACUCCAAGGAAGUUUGAGGCAAUAACAGGUCUGUGAUGCCCUUAGAUAUCCUGGGCCGCACGCGUCAUACAAUGACUAGUUCAGAAAGUUUUCUCCUGACCCGAAAGGGGAUGGGUAAUCUUGAUAAUACUAGUCGUGUUAGGGAUCGAUCUUUGCAAUUAUAGAUCUUGAACGAGGAAUUCCUAGUAAGUGCGGUUCAUCAGACCGUACUGAUUACGUCCCUGCUCUUUGUACACACCGCCCGUCGCUUCUACCGAGUGGGUGGUCCGGUGAGAUAAUUGAACUUCGCAGGUAACUGAGAGGAAAGAUUAUCAAACCUAUCCACCUCGAGGAAGAAGAAGUCGUAACAAGGUU